UCAGAUGAAGCUCGUGGUCUGAGCAGUGAGGUUGUAAACACUGUUUUCUGUAUGGAUUCCUCUAUCCUAGUAUAUAAACUCUCUUUCUGGACCCUUCCCCUCAUUGAGGAGUAUUCAGCGGCCUCCUAGCUACACGUACAGUCUCGGAAGUUUUCGGUGUGAAACAGGAAAUUCCACAAGUCUGCCUCGGAAGAAUGGAUCGCUGAGCAUUACAAAGAUCUACAGAGAAAAGCUCUGCAUGAGAAGUACAGCAAAGGUUAACAUCUACAUUCAUGUGCUGAAGAUCGUGACUGCUUUCCUUAUAUGACAGAUCCUGAUGAAAAGCUGACCAAAGGUCAAUGAUGCCCCGAUCUCUGUGUGGACAGAAGCUGACCUCACUGAUCUACUCGGCCUUUUCAGCUCCUGCCUUGAACGUUUUUUAAUCAUGACUUUUUUUUUUCCUUGUUUAAUAUCACAUCCCACUUUGUUAAAGACUCAGUAUUCUUGCAUAGUCAAGUGUUAAAUUUGUUUCUAUCAUCAUUAUUUAAGCUUCUACUUUACUGUGUAAGAGCUAAACAGUUAAAGUGUACCUGUUUCUGAUGAAAUAAACAUUUGAACUCA